AACACUGUUAACCUGCGGUACCUGCGGAGGGAUCAUACUGUGAUUUACUACUACACUGCGUGAGCGGAACGAAAACAACAACACCUAAAAUGUGGAAUAUAGCAUAUAGUCGACAAGAGAAAUCUACGAAAAAACAAACAAAACUUUUAACAAUGGAUCU
rnacentral:misc_RNA from 1 species